rnacentral:rRNA from 1 species
UACGGGGGGAGCAAGCGUUGUUCGGAUUUACUGGGCGUAAAGGGCGCGUAGGCGGCAAUUCAAGUCAUCUGUGAAAUCUCCGGGCUUAACUCGGAACGGUCAGAUGAUACUGCUUUGCUAGAGUGCGGAAGGGGCAAUCGGAAUUCUCGGUGUAGCGGUGAAAUGCGUAGAUAUCGAGAGGAACACCUGCGGCGAAGGCGGGUUGCUGGGCUGACACUGACGCUGAUGCGCGAAAGCUAGGGGAGCGAACGGG